GCGGACUUGGCACUGUUGCUGCUGGCUCCAGAUUACACAGUUGAACUGGCUUGAGGAGAAAACUCCUGGUUUCCCAACCCAUCAGUGGUGGAAUGAAAAUGCCUUGCUUCUGUUAUGACACAUUGCAGAGGAUGGAACAGGAACGGUUUAAGCGAUUAGUUUGAGGGAUUAGUCAUCAUGAAGCUUUGAGUACCUAAUUUCAAAAUGGUAGCCGCUGUGCAGUGCAAUCAUUUCCAGAUAAUUAGGUGAGAAUCUGAGCGUGGCCUUGCUCUUCAGAACUCAGAGUUCAAAGUAACCAUUAUAUAUACUUUUUCAAGGAGCGAAAUGCUCUAGGUUGAGGCAGGAAGGAUUCUGCAACAGUUCCAAUGAUCCUCUCUCCUGAAGUGUGUUCCCUGAGUGGGAACCGCGACGGUGAUGGAAUCACAGUCCAUGAUGCCGUGGACUCCCAUGAUGAGGUUGUUAACUGACUGACCUUGAAUUCAUCCCAAAGGAGCUGGUCCUGGGUGAGCCUGCCUGUCAAGCGAGUUCUUCGGAAGGAGGUGAAGCGUAAGUGACAUGGUCUGCUGACUUGACGACUGCCAAGUCAUGAGAGAGGAGUGUCCUUGGCUGGAACCUGAGGUGGUUCUGCUCAAUGGGAAUGCUUUGAAAAGCAGCCAGAAGCACAGAGAACACAGAAGACCCUCAAGGCUGAGAAACAAUGGUGGUUUUUAGCUUGCUCUUGGAGUCGUGGACACACUGGCCCAGCCUCCUUGGAAACAUCUUGUAGAAGAACUUGGAGAGGGAUGACUUUGUGGUGCACCUGGACAGAAAGGAUAUUAGACCCUGAGCUCUCAGCCCUGGCAAAGAUGGCCAUGCUAAACUUGGCAGGAAUCAGCAGGGCUGUCUGACCUGAAGUGAUCGGAAGAGCUUAGACGUUGAGCACAUGCAUGGUGACUGGUAUGAACUGAGAACAAGAGGACUCGGUCCAAUUGACACACUCUGGACAGGGAGACCUGAGAGUGCCUAGGUGACUCUUGCAACCCAGACAGUAAGGAGUGGCAAAUGACAAGCUGAACAGCCAUGCGUCUUGUUCUGCCCAGCAUGGGGAGUUCGGUGGUGAGCUACUAUUCACUGGGAGAAGCAGCUGAAGUAAUCUUGGGACCACAAAGCAGAAAGAGACUUUUCCAGCAGUAUUCAAGAGACCAAAGAGCAAAAUCUCAAGUCUUUCCUCAAGGAAUAACACUGUUCAGUGCAUGUGUCUCCUGGUACCACAUGACUGUAUUUUAGGACCGUGAGUGCUUUGCUGUGCUGCCUGCCAUGGUGCCAAGCUCAGGAGUCCACUCCGAACAUGACUGAGCUGGGAACAGCUUGGCAGUGAGUACCCAAACUUUAUAUUGCUGCACACUGCCCGAAGGAGAAAUAAGGUUCUCCCCAGGAGGGUGACCUUUUCAAGAAUAAACAGACUCUGACAGUGAUCCUCAGUGCUUGGUUUUUGAGACACAUGAGCCACUUGUUAUUGAAAUACGGUGACAUGCUGAAAGCCUCAGGGAAAAAUAGCACUUAAAACAUAAAAACACAGCAAUUCCUAUUGAGCAAUCCAUCCCAUUCAUCCAGCAGAGCUGGAACCAUAUGCGAUAAUGGCCCACAGUGUGGGUAUGGUGUUGUGAUGGAUGAGAUGCUGAGUGUAAGCCAGGCCUUGUUCUUUCGAGAAGCCCAGACUUAAUCCUCAUUACCUUAUUUUUUCUUUUCUGUAAACAGCUGUUAAUAAUAACUACUUUUCAUCAAACAGCCUCUGCUGUGUACCAGACAUUGUGCCAAAGCAGUACUUUGGGUGAUUUUUACAAUGAUCUUGAGAAGGGUAUAUACACAUGAGGAUUGGAGAGGUUACAUAAUUUGCUAGUAUGCUAAAAAGCUGACAGAUGAAUCCAGGCUCGUCGAAAAGCAAAAUUCACCUCUUAGUAUUAAAAAACAAGUGGCAUAAUUGCUAUUAUUACUGAAUUAUCCUUUAGGAAUAAUCAAUUUUUUUUGGAGACACAGUCUUGCUAUGUUACCUAGGUUGGCAGAAAUAAUCAAUUUUAAAAUUGAAUGGGCAAGCGUUUUCUCUGACAUUAGCAUCACCAGCUUAGUUGGUAGCAGAGGAAUUUAUGGGCCCUGGAAACUUAUUAUUAAUUCCAGAUCUCAUACUGAGUUAAAAAAUGUCAAGAACGAGCAGCAACCUUUAUUUAGCCAUUUGGAUGAAAGUAGUGUUAUUUUAUAAUAAAAUGUUAUGUGUCUUUUAAUAUGUGAGAUGUGCUUGAUUAUUUGGUGCUUUCUGACUGCAGGAUGACAUAGAGGCUCUUCAGCAGGUUAAGACUGAUUAUCUCCAGUUUAUAGCACCAAAGCUUAAUUAAUUUACACAUUCCAUUCAGAAUUUGGAGAAGAAAAUUCUUAAAACUUAAUUGGGCUAGUUUUAUAUUUAGUACAUGUUAUGGUUCCAUAACUAGUGGUCAACUUAACGCCAGCUGGAUUACAUCAGCAUGCAUUGAGAGAAGAUGCUCCACCUGAGGAGGGCUGCCAGGAUAAAUAGGUGGAGAAGAGAGGUGUUGGAGAGGGAUUGAGGUGUUAUGGAGGCAUUGUUGGUUCUCCUACGAGUUGCUGUCUGAGCUGUUGGUUCUCCUGGAGAAGCUUUGGUCUUCACAUCGAGCAUUGCUUCCUGGCUCCGGAGGGGAAGACCUGUGCUGCCUGGUCUCCAGGGUGAACUCGUCACGCUGCUUCCUGGCACGUUCCCGACUGUGCUUGUUGUCGGAGGAGCUCGGGGCCUCUGUGUCGCUGAGGACAGCUGUGGUUCCUUUCAGGACAGCCCCGCUCUUUGUUGUCAGAGAGUCUUUCCCCUGGCUAUGAGUUGGAUGGUAAUAGAAAUGGAGUUCUACAUGGCAGAGAAGAUGGAGCCUAUGGGAAGGGAAAAGUCUGAAUCUCCUGAAGAAUAAGCACAAGAAAGAAGAUUUUCCUACAAACCUAAUGCUCUUAUAAAAAGAACACUGUUGUGGUUUUGGGUGACUGGGCUGAUAGCAGACUCCAUUGCUUCAUGGUGCAAGCCUCAAGCUCAGGGUCCAAUACCAUCACCUGCUGCGGCAAGCCCUUUGGCUAGGAGCCUCCUGCUGGGGAUGACAAGACUUGGGCAGGGACGUUGCAUAACAAUGUACAAACUACAGCUUGGAUUUUACCCCUCUGAAUAAAUUGCAGUAUUUUUCCUAUAUCGUCUUGGAUAAUGGUAUCCGCUAAAAAGUGAAUUUCUUUCUUUCCUUUUUAAUAAAUAACAAAAACAGCAUCUAUUGUGCAGUUGCAUGACACGUGAAUGACCCUAAGGGCUUUUCUUGCUGGGUCCUAUUCAGUUCUUAUAUAAACCUUGGAAAGAGAUGCUAGCGUGAGUCCCAUUUUAAUAUACAGAUAGAAUCGGAGGCUGGGAGACACAGAGUUAUCAGCCCGAGGUUCCGGCUCUCAGACUCAGAUCCAAUUACACUGCAGAGCCUGGACUUUAUGCUGCCUCCUAAAGACUCACAAUCCAACAGCUUGUGUGGAGGUAAAUACAAUUACGUGGGACAAUUUGUCCCUUAAAAAUGACACAUCUGAAGAUGGAGCAACAAAGAAAAUGCUUUUGUGAAGUGAAAAAAGAGGGGUGGAGAACUGUAUCUCUGCUCUGUGUGGUCCUUUGGAGAAUGAUGCAUGCUCAAACAGAGACACAGGAUGCAGGAUGGGGGGGUGAUGUGUUUAUUGUAUUCCACUUCUUGGGUUUCAUGAAUGCUGAUGAUAAUAAGAAACAAAUAAAGAAUAAUUUAAAAAUUCCCCAACAAAAUGAAUUUCUUUAUCAACGCAGUACUUGUAAGAAUUCGGUUUCUAGCAGGCCAUGUUUUUUGAGGAAGGGCAGACAAUUUGCAGUUGCCCAGAGGAGAAGCUCACUGUGCUCGGGGGACUUUUUGUCUGAGAUGAGCUGAUUCAUAUUUUUCAACGACUUCUUUGUGGCAUGCUUUGUAUGUAUAAGAAAAGGUGCGCAGUGUUUGGAUUACCCUGCCUGGGUUACACCCCGGGUAAGCAGGAUGGAUAUUCUUGACUGUCCUUUUGAUUCUAGUUGAAGCUGCGUGCCACAGGCAUGUCUUAGUAGAUUGCUUUGUGAUUUAUGCAGGUCUAAAGGAGACCAAGGAUCAUUUAUCUUCAAACCGGGAAAGAGAUGAAAGUGGCUUGGUAGUAAAAUUUCCUGUGGA